UCCAGGCCCUACGGGAGGCAGCAGUGGGGAAUUUUCCGCAAUGGGCGAAAGCCUGACGGGGCAACGCCGCGUGAGGGAUGAAGGCCUCUGGGCUGUAAACCUCGUUUAUCAAGGAAGAAGAUCUGACGGUACUUGAUGAAUAAGCCACGGCUAAUUCCGUGCCAGCAGCCGCGGUAAUACGGGAGUGGCAAGCGUUAUCCGGAAUUAUUGGGCGUAAAGCGUCCGCAGGCGGCCCUUCAAGUCUGCUGUUAAAAAGUGGAGCUUAACUCCAUCAUGGCAGUGGAAACUGUUGGGCUUGAGUGUGGUAGGGGCAGAGGGAAUUCCCGGUGUAGCGGUGAAAUGCGUAGAUAUCGGGAAGAACACCAGUGGCGAAGGCGCUCUGCUGGGCCAUCACUGACGCUCAUGGACGAAAGCCAGGGGAGCGAAAGGGAUUAGAUACCCCUGUAGUCCUGGCCGUAAACGAUGAACACUAGGUGUCGGGGGAAUCGACCCCCUCGGUGUCGUAGCCAACGCGUUAAGUGUUCCGCCUGGGGAGUACGCACGCAAGUGUGAAACUCAAAGGAAUUGACGGGGGCCCGCACAAGCGGUGGAGUAUGUGGUUUAAUUCGAUGCAACGCGAAGAACCUUACCAGGGUUUGACAUCCUGCGAAUCUCUUGGAAACGAGAGAGUGCCUUCGGGAGCGCAGUGACAGGUGGUGCAUGGCUGUCGUCAGCUCGUGUCGUGAGAUGUUGGGUUAAGUCCCGCAACGAGCGCAACCCUCGUCUUUAGUUGCCAGCAUUUAGUUGGGCACUCUAGAGAGACCGCCGGUGAUAAACCGGAGGAAGGUGUGGAUGACGUCAAGUCAUCAUGCCCCUUACACCCUGGGCUACACACGUACUACAAUGCUACGGACAAAGGGCAGCAAGUUCGCGAGGACAAGCAAAUCCCAUAAACCGUGGCUCAGUUCAGAUCGUAGGCUGCAACUCGCCUACGUGAAGGAGGAAUCGCUAGUAAUCGCAGGUCAGCAUACUGCGGUGAAUACGUUCCCGGGCCUUGUACACACCGCCCGU
rnacentral:rRNA from 1 species